CUUGGCCUUGGCCUUUGGCCGGCACAGCCUGAGCCCUUUGGCAAUACGGGCACAAGCACGCUUCCCAAGCUUGGGGUGGGCAUUGGGGUCCACCCCCUUAAGAGAUUCGUAUCUUUGUGAUCGGGGUUUCUUGAUACCAUUUCUGUGCCAUUUUCGGGACUGGUUGUGUGUGGUGUGGUUCUUGGACUUGGCCAUGUCUGCACCUUAAGCUG
rnacentral:lncRNA from 1 species